AGUGGGGAUUCAUUCAUUCUCCUCUUUAAAGAAGCUAGAUUUUUCUAUGAGUAAAUACUUGUAGGUGAAGGAUAAAGGAGACCGGCCUUUCCAUUUCUUCCCUCGCCCCCUCCCUCUCUCGGCAGAAUCGGGGCCCUAAGCGUGAUCGCGGUCAUCAUCAGAGGCCCGAGCAGGGCCCACCUGCGGACGGGAUGCAGAGCACCACAAGGAACCGACAAACUCAUUUGGCAGUGCAAUAUUCUCUCUCCCCUCAAAUUAUUUUGCUGAACCAUAUGAAUCUUGACCUGCCAAGGCCCACUAGCCAUUGACAUGGUGGGAAGAGGUGGGGGGGACUCCGAUGGCAGCAGAAGGACAGCAGCUGCAGCUCUUCAGGUGACCGGCACAGUAAGGCAGUGUGCUCGUGGAGCCUCUGGCCAGAUCACCGGGACCUGCUGCAGCGGAGCUAAGCCUGUGACACAAAGUGCUGCUUCUCAGCUGACCCCUUGGCUCCCACACAGACACCUCUGCGGGGACAAAGAAGGCAGCGAGCGUGUCCUCUAAUAUUCUUCCAAGCACAUUCAUUUCUGGAGUUCCUCACAGUCGUUUGUGAAGGAAAGAAAUCACGGGAUGGCAAGCAGCCCUGCGGACUCUGAGGGAGGUGACCAUAGCACAGGGCAGUCCCUGGGCCAGCACCGUUGACCUUGAAAGAAGGGGAAGGACUGGGUUUUGCCAGUCACGUGACUCUCUAAGAGGUUUCACAGUUUGGCAGUUCCCUAGAGGAAUUGUCUGGUCUUUGUCAUUGAGAAGUGUCGGAACUUUAUUCGGUCAACACACCGUAUAUCAACCUAGUUUAUGGUAAACUUGGGAUAGGCCAGAGUGACAACUACCAAUUUAUAACAAGAAAUGCCAUUGUGCUGCCCAUCUGAUCAGCUCGUCCUCCCUCUGUCCUAGACGGGCACGGGGACCCAUGGGGACCCAGGCCACAACCCCAGGGAACAGCACAUGAUCAGAAUAAAGAGCAUUACCUCUACCA
rnacentral:lncRNA from 12 species